UUAUUUAAAUGAACCUGAUCCAAAGUCCCCAAUUUUCACUGUUCCUCUGUCGCCUAUGAAAAUAUUAUUCGGCUUCAAGUCUCGAUGAAUAAUAUCUUUGCCGUGUAUGAACUAUAAAGCCUCCAAAAUCUGCCAACAUUAAAGUUAAGAAUCCACCAAUGGUAUGUCUGUCAAAUAUUAAUCUUUCUGUCUUUACUCUAUAUUAUGGUACUCUACCUAAUAUCUUCAUUGAAAAUUCUUAUUACUCAUAGGGAAGAAAAUCUAUGGGUCUAUCUGGCUCAAUGGAGCUGACUGAACAACAGAGGAUUCUGGGGGAGCUUGUGAAAGAAAGUAGUGAAUGCAAGCUGCUAUAUGUCACCGCUGGCACAAUUACCAAAAGAAAGCUACUUCUGAAACACUUGGAAACUCUAUAUGAUCGUGGAUUGCUUGCUAGAAUUGUCAUUGAAUAGCUGAAUUUGUAUGCGAAAGAUAUAAGAUGCCAGAUUAUCAGGGUCUUGGUAUCUUGAAAAAGAAGUUUCCAAGGGUACCUCUUGUGGCCUUGGCUACUAUCGUGCCAGACAGUGUCAGAGAUGAGGCAGUCGACAUUUUGGGUCUUGUGAACUGCAUUCAUUUUAACCGGAGGCUUAUACACUUGAGGUAAUUGAUAAGGUUUUGGCGGCUAUACUGAACGUGGUGAGGAAGACAUUCGGAUUUGGUAAAUUCCUAUAAUGGUGGGGCACAUAUUUUACCCAAGAUAUGAUCGGGACUAUAUUGAAAUUGAGAAAUUAGUUAAAUGCAGGACAGGGUAGCUUUGGAAGCGUGUUUGAAUGCAAGGUCAAACUUGAUAACAGGCCUUGUGCUAUUAAGAAGAUACGUUCUGCCAAAUCAGAAGAAGAAGAUCAAAGUCUAAUUAAUGAAGUCAGAAUGCUCAGUCUCGCACAACAUCCAAAUGUUGUGGGCUAUCAUCAGGCAUGGAUUGAAGAUUACAGAGAACAAAAUCAUUUCGAAGCUCACUACUCUGGUUCCUCUUCAUAUGGCCCGAGGGAGAAGAUGAUGUAUAUUCAUAUGGAACUUUGUAAGGGGUCAUUGGAGUCUAAAUUAAAGAAGGAGAAGAAGCUACCUAGGCAUAAGGCAUGGAGUUACUUUCGGCAGAUUUUGGAGGCUUUACAGUUCAUACACGGCAAAGAUAUUAUUCAUCGAGACUUGAAGCCGAAUAAUAUUUUCAUAGGCGACAGAGGAACAGUGAAAAUUGGGGACUUUGGAUUAGAUUCAUUUAAAUAAAAUUUGGUGCUUUACAAAAUUGUACCUGGGCAAUGAGUUGGUUGACUAACCAAUUUUUCCUAUUUACAACUCUGCAUAAGGAUGUCAGUUCGACCACAAAGUUGGCACCAGUUGGUGCGGAUCUCUACCGUGCACCUGAAAUGGAAAAGGGGGUGUGCAUCACCAACAAAGUGGACAUGUAUGCCUUGGGGUUGAUUCUAUUCCAGCUGUUUGGUCCCCAGGGAGAUACUGCGAUCCAAAGGUUGAAAGAUUCGGCAUCGCCCAGGCAAGUUUGCGAAAUUUGCGAAAAGUAUAAGAUGGAUGAAACUGCCAAGCCCCUGAUCUUGAAGCUACUUCGGAUAGAUCCAUUGAAACGGCCUUCUGCUGCUGAUCUUCUACAGGAUUUAGAUACAUUGGAGGGGAAAAAACAAGAAGCACAACUACAGAAACUUUCAUAGCAUUUGGAAACUGACAUUUAGCAACUGCGAUGGGCCAUGCAGUUGGUUGUGCCUAAAACCCUAGAACAUGGAUGCUGUUUAUAACUGUUUGAGUAGAUCGUGGAGUACUGUGUCUCGAACGAGCGUUUGACACUUGCAAUGUUGUGCACAUGGUGCUAUGUCUCCUAGACUCCUUUUUGAUAUUGUAUAAUGAAUUUGUUUCUGCAACAAUGCUAUUUUGAAGUGUGCCAAAGGCAUUAGGACAUUUCUGUUAACAUUCUGGUGUUUGGGCCAUUUCUGUUACUGAAAAGAGUUUCAGCAACUUCCUCCUAAUCCUUGUCUGUGUGAAAAAUACUGAGAAAUUCUUUCCAUGUCUUGUGUUAUCAACUGGGCAUUCAAGAAGUUAAAGUCUGCUUUCAUUGGUCA